UACGUAGGUGGCAAGCGUUGUCCGGAUUUACUGGGCGUAAAGAGCGCGCAGGCGGUCGUUCAAGUCGCGUGUGAAAGCCCCCGGCUCAACUGGGGAGGGUCACGCGAUACUGAUCGACUCGAAGGCAGGAGAGGGAAGUGGAAUUCCCGGUGUAGUGGUGAAAUGCGUAGAUAUCCGGAGGAAUACCAAAGGCGAAGGCAGUGUCCUGGGGAGUGUCUGACGCUCAGGCGCGAAAGCUAGGGGAGCGAACAGG
rnacentral:rRNA from 1 species